rnacentral:rRNA from 1 species
ACCAUGGGGGGGGUGCUAAUACAUGCAAGUCGAGCGGACAGAUGGGAGCUUGCUCCCUGAAGUCAGCGGCGGACGGGUGAGUAACACGUGGGCAACCUGCCUGUAAGACUGGGAUAACUCCGGGAAACCGGGGCUAAUACCGGAUAAUUCUUUCCCUCACAUGAGGGAAAGCUGAAAGAUGGUUUCGGCUAUCACUUACAGAUGGGCCCGCGGCGCAUUAGCUAGUUGGUGAGGUAACGGCUCACCAAGGCAACGAUGCGUAGCCGACCUGAGAGGGUGAUCGGCCACACUGGGACUGAGACACGGCCCAGACUCCUACGGGAGGCAGCAGUAGGGAAUCUUCCGCAAUGGACGAAAGUCUGACGGAGCAACGCCGCGUGAGUGAUGAAGGUUUUCGGAUCGUAAAACUCUGUUGUUAGGGAAGAACAAGUACCGGAGUAACUGCCGGUACCUUGACGGUACCUAACCAGAAAGCCACGGCUAACUACGUGCCAGCAGCCGCGGUAAUACGUAGGUGGCAAGCGUUGUCCGGAAUUAUUGGGCGUAAAGCGCGCGCAGGCGGUUCCUUAAGUCUGAUGUGAAAGCCCCCGGCUCAACCGGGGAGG